UACAGUAUAUUCAUGCCUGCCUGCUUUCUGAGGAUUUGUGUUUGUCCUCAAAUAGACUGUAGACUCAGUUGUGUUCUGUCUGUAUGUGUCUUCAGCACACAGGAGUACAGUGAUGGCACACAUGUGGCUGUUAUACCAACUCUAACCUGUGUUUUAGCUCUAUCUGAGUGAGGAGGAGGAGUUCUAGUGGAGAACAGGGGUCCGUUUGACAAAACAGGUUCAACAAACUCUGUGUAACCCUGAACUCUGAGUUUUCGGUUCCAGAACGGCUGAUUUGAGUUGGUUUAAUCAACUCGGAGUAGUUUCACCCGGAGUUAAGCGUGUGCACCACAACUCUGAAAAGCCAGUAUCAAUGGAGCCACGAUUCGACGAGUCACCAUAGCAACGGGGAAGCGGAGGACUACGUUUUUCAACCCAUUUGAAUUGGAAAUCUUAAUGUGCUCAUAUAGCAACUUUGAACACGUUUUUAGAAGUGCAACACCGCUGCAGCUGCAAAAGAGAGGGAGACGGCGUGGGAGAACAUUGCUGCCCGGCUCAAUGCGUGCAAUCCCGCGGGGAAGAAGCGCAUGUGGCAGCAGCUUAAGAUGAAAUAUAAAACAUUGUUCAAACAGUAUCACUCAUCUAGGAUGAAGUGUCUGCUGCCAUUACAGAGGGGGAUCCAAAAAGGCAUAUAGAGAGCAUGGUUGGGCAGCAGCAGGAUGGUCCCUCAACUUUCACUGCACAGAUUGACACAGUGAGAUGGAUGUUCAGUAAACACAAGAGGUUCAGUCCAUGGAAUUCAUGUGCAACUGUAUAAUUUAAUGUCCUCUAUGUAUUCCCAGUUAUCAGUAAAACAGAUUUACAAAAUGCACUUGCUGAAAAAUUCCAGAAAAUAGAUAAAGAAAUGCAAUACUUGGACCACCAGAUUAGGAGGGCAGAUCUGGAAAUUGAAAUACUGGAGCACAAGUUAGAGGUGGGUGCAUGGUCACAGGUGAAUUAUGUUAACUAUUGGAACAUUAACUAAACUAGCUCUUUUAUUUGUAGGAAAU